GGCAGUGUGAUCUAAUGGGUAGGAUACUGGACUAGAAAUUGGGAGACCUGAUUCUAUUCCCAGCUCUGCCA
rnacentral:tRNA from 1 species